rnacentral:rRNA from 1 species
GUGGGGAAUCUUGCGCAAUGGGCGAAAGCCUGACGCAGCCAUGCCGCGUGAAUGAUGAAGGUCUUAGGAUUGUAAAAUUCUUUCACCGGGGACGAUAAUGACGGUACCCGGAGAAGAAGCUCCGGCUAACUUCGUGCCAGCAGCCGCGGUAAUACGAAGGGGGCUAGCGUUGCUCGGAAUUACUGGGCGUAAAGGGCGCGUAGGCGGACAGCUUAGUCAGAGGUGAAAGCCCAGGGCUCAACCUUGGAAUUGCCUUUGAUACUGGCUGUCUUGAGUUUGGGAGAGGUGAGUGGAACUCCGGGUGUAGAGGUGAAAUUCGUAGAUAUUCGGAAGAACACCAGUGGCGAAGGCGACUCACUGGCCCAAUACUGACGCUGAGGCGCGAAAGCGUGGGGAGCAAACAGGAUUAGAAACCCCAGUAGUCC